rnacentral:lncRNA from 1 species
UAUAUCUAUUCCACUCACUAAUCACCAAUAAAUAUAUAAAUAAACUUAUUGAAGAAAAUAGAACACAAAUCCGUUGUAGCAAAACUAAACUUGGCUAAUUUGUUGGUCCAGUUUCCACUCCUGGCAGUGGAAAGUACUUUUGGGUUUUUUUUUUUUUUUUUUUUUUUUUCGUGUUUUCGUUUUUUUAUAUAUGUUUCACUCACUAAUCACCCAUCAAGAUAUAAAUAAAUUUACCAAAGAAAAUCGAAACUCAAAUCUGUUGUAGCAAAACUAUUCUUUGCUAAUUUGUUCGUCCAGGUUUGACUCCUGGCAGCGGAAAAGUACUUUUUGGUUUUUUUUUUCUUUUCAAUUUUAAUAUAUAUUUCACUCACUAAUCACCCGUAAAGAUAUAAAUAAAUUUACCAGGAGAAAAUAGAACACAAAUCUGCUUUAGCAAAACUAAUCUCAACAAAUUUGUUUUUCAGGUUCGACUCCUAGUAGCUGAAAAUAGUUUUUGUUUUUUUUUCUUUUCAAUUUGGAUAUCUAUUUCACUCACCAAUCACUUAUAAAGAUAUAAAUAUAAUUGUAGAAUGAAACAAAAGACAAAUACGUUGUAACAAAUCUAUUAUUGGCUAAUUUUUUCAGCCAGGUUUGAUACCAAACAUCGCAAGUACUUUUUGGCCUUUUUUCUUUUCGAUUUAGAUAUUUACUCACUUACUAAUCUCCCGUAAAGUUAUAAAUAAACUUACUGAAGAAAGUAGAACACAAAUCUAUUGUAGCAAAACUUAACUUGGCUAAUUUGUUCUUGUAGAUUUGACUCUUGGUAGCAGAAAAUACAUUGUUGAAGUAAAUAAAACACAAAUCUUCUGUAGCAAAGCUAAACUUGUCUAAUUUGUUAUCCCAGGUUUGACUAUUGGAAGCAGAAAAUACUUUUGGGGGUUUUUUUUAUUUUCGAUUUUUACAUCUAUUUCACUCAAAAAUCACAUAUAAAGAUAUAAAUGAAUUUGCCGAAGCAAAUCGAACUCAAAUCCGCUGUUGCAAAACUAAUCUUGGCUAAUUUGUUCUUCCAGGUUCGAAAAUCGUUUUUAAACUUUUUUCUUCUUUCCAAUUUUGAUAUCUAUUCCACUCACUAAUCACCCAUAAAGAUGUAAAUAAAAUUAUUGAAAAAAAUAGAACACAAAUCCGCUGUAGCAAAACUAAAUUUGGCUAAUUUGUUGAUCCAGGUUCAACUCCUGGCAGCAAAAAAUACUUUUGAGUUAUUUUUUUUUGUAUUUUUCGUUUUUUAUAUCUAUUUCACUCACUAAUCGUCCAUCAAGCUAUAAAUAAAACUAGCCUCUUGCCACACGUAUUGGCAAUUGACCUUUUUAUAUUAGAUUAUGUCUUUUAUUUUUUUUUUAGUAACUAUUUUAUAUUUUCAUUGAAAAAUUAUUCAAAAAAAAAUUGAAGCAAAACCAUGAAACCACCAACUAACAUGGUAGUUUUUUUUUUUCAGUGAAAGUUUUAAAUUUAAAGUUCAUUCAAAAUUAAAAUGUGGUGAAAUACUUUAAAUUCUUAUGCUUCAAUUGUAAUUUUUAGAAUUCUUGAAGGACAAUUUUUGGUAUUUUGAAUGUUUCACCUUUUUAUCCUUCUCACUUUAUAUAUAUAGAUUACGUAUUUUUCGUUUUUUAUAACUAUUUCACUCACUAAUCAUCCAUCAAGCUAUAAAUAAAAUUACUGAAAAAAAUAAAACACAAAUCCGAUGUAGCAAAAGUUAAACUUGGCUAAUUUGUUCUUCCAAGUUUGACUCUUGGCAACGGAAAAUACUUUGUGGUUAUUUUUCUUUUCAAUUUUAAUAUCUAUUUCACUCACUAACCAUCCAUAAAGAUAUAAAUAACUUUACAGAAGAAAACAAAACACAAAUCCAUUGUAGCAAACUAAUCUUUGCUAAUUUGUUUUUCUGGGUUCGACUCCUUGCAGCAGAAAAUAGUUUUUGAUUUUUUUUUCUUUUCAAUUUUGAUAUCCAUUCCACUCACCAAUCACCUAUAAAGAUAUAAAUAUAAAUAUAGAACAAAACAAAACACAAAUCCGUUGUAGCAAAACUAUUAUUGGCUAAUUUGUUCAAGAAGGUUUGAUACCUAACAACGUAAAAUGUUUUUUGGUUUUUUUUCUUUUCGAUAUGGAUAUCUAUUUACUCACUAAUCACCCAUAAAGAUAUAAAUAAACAUACUGAAGAAAUUAGAAUACAAAUCCACCGUAGCAAAACCAUACUUCACUAAUUUGUUUUUCCAAUGUCAACUCCUGGCUGUGGAAAACACUUUUUUGCUUUUUUUUCUUUUCGAUUUCAAUAUCUAUUCCACUCAAUAAUCACCCAUAAAGAUAUAUAUAACAUUGUUGAAGAAAAUAAAAUACAAAUUCGUUGUUGCAAAACUACACUUGUCUAAUUUGUUAUCCAAGAUUCGACUCCUGGUAGCAGAAAAUACUUUUGGGGAUUUUCUUUUUUUGUAUUUUUAUAUCUAUUUCACUCAGAAAUCACGCAUAAAGAUGUAAAUGAAUUUGCUGAAGCAAGUUGAACUCAAAUCCGCUGUAGCAAAACUAAUGUUGCCUAAUUUGUUCUUCUAGGUUCGAAAAUCGUUUUUUAAACUUUUUUUUUCUUUCCAAUUUUGAUAUCUAUUCCACUCACUAAUCACCCGCAAAGAUAUAAAUAAAAUUAUUCAAGAAAAUAGAACACAAAUCUGUUGUAGCUAAACUAAACUUGGCUAAUUUGUUCAUCCAGGUUCUACUCCUGGCGGCGGAAAAUACUUUUGGGCUAUUUUUUUUGUAUUUUUCGUUUAUUAUAUCUGUUUUACUCAUUAAUCACCCAUCAAGCUAUAAAUAAAAUUACUAAAAAAAAUAAAACACAAAUCCGCAGGAGCAAAACUGAACUUUGCUAAUUUGUUCUUCCAAGUUAGACUCCUUGAAGUAGAAAAUACUUUUUUGGUUAUUUUUCAUUUCAAUUUUAAUAUCUAUUUCACUCACUAAUCACCCAUAAAGAUAUAAAUAACUUUACCAAAGAAAACAGAACACAAAUCCCUUGUAGCAACCUAAUCUUUGCUAAUUUGUUUUUCUAGGUUCGACUCCUCGCAGCAGAACAUAGUUUUUGAUUUUUUUUUUUUUCUCCUUUCCACUCACCAAUUACCAAUCACCUAUAA